rnacentral:tRNA from 1 species
GGUCCCUUCGUCUAGCGGUUAGGACAGAGGACUUUCAUUCCUCCAACAGGGGUUCGAGUCCCCUAGGGAUCACCA